AACUGUUUUACCCUCAUUCUUGCUGACGCUCUUAUCAAUGCAAAGUAGUUGCUGUAUUCCUGCUUUUCAGCAGCUGCAAAGACACCAAGGACCCAGUUCCAUAGGCAGCGCUGCACAAACUCACUCUUGGCCUGCAGCCCACUUGCUGCAGUCUGACUGAGGCGGGACCACGUGCGUCUGUGUGCACUGCAUUCAGAUAUGGUAGUCCUGCUGUCAUGGCUCUUGAAAUGAAAGAUUUGGAAACGUUAUGAGAUAGAGCCUGGGCUACAUCCUCAACCAAGAUGUGCUCCUUUGUCCCUGUGGGUACACACACUGCUGCUCUCCCGUGGGCUGCCAUGGCUUUAUGAUUUUUGUUAUCGGUAUUCCACAUCAUAACAUUAUAUAGUGCACUGGGAUUUAAACAGUUAAUGCUCCAGUUCCAUGGAAUUACGAUAGUUCCAGGUACCUGUCUCAGAAGAGAAGAACUACAAAAUGAACUACAGCACCCAGAAGACUUUGCUGUUCCAUUUCCAUGUUCCAGUGGGUGGGAAAGAUAACAAUGACUGUGAGUCACGAGGUGGCCUCUUUUUUUUGCCUGCUUUCUCUCUUUUUCUGCUUGUCUCUGUGGUGCGUGCUCCCUAGCCAUCCCCCCUACAGCAUUACACCGCCUUUCCCCGCGAGCAGUUCAGGUUCUGAGAAGACCGGAGCCGCCCUUAAGCCGGCAGGAGGCUUUCGCCGGCGCUGCCGACAGAAGCGGGUGGGAGCAAGAGCAGGAGCGGCGGCCGUCCCUGGAAGCUCCGCGGGCAGCGGCUCUCGACGGCCCUCGGCCCGAACCCCCUUUGCAGCACUGCCCCCGCGCUCGUCCCGUCGCCCUCCGCACGCCGCUCUCGUCGCCUCCCCAGCGCCGGGUGCUGUGAACAGCGGCGGCAGAGCUCUCGGCGAGGGCGCUGAGAAGCAGCCCGACUUUUCGCCUCCGAAGGGAGAAUGAAGAGCAGUGUUGCCGUUCCCGAGCAGAGUGCUGGCGUCGUGUCAUGCGUCAUCUGUAACCGUGAGGAAGCCGGAGGUCUGCUUUGAGAGAGGCACCGGGGCUGCAACGAGAGCACUUCCCAAGGCCCAUUAUGCCUGCGCUGUCCGAGCGCGGUUCCUGCGAUGAUCUCUGCCAGCUGGGCGCAGUCCCGGUAUGGCAGCCCGUGUCUCAGCUGGUGCCCACACCGCUCCGUUCAGCAACAGGAGCUCCAUGGGGACAAAGGGAACGGGAGGGCGCCUGGAAGGCCUCACCCAAGGGGCCCCGGAGUGCACGUGGCUGCAGCAGGGACCUUAGGUGGACGUGUUUGUAGUUGAAGCCAGGGACUUUUGUACCACGUCUUACACUAGCAGCCCCAAGGAGAUGAGUGUUCUUCCUCGGAAACAAAGGAAAUGUAAUCCAUUCUAUGAUGUUCUUCCUCUGAAAAAGGAAAUUGUGCUAGUUUUACCAACAGCAUCAAAAUCGCAUUAAACGUCACCGGAACAGCUGUACUGUGUGACAAACCAUUUUCCUUGGUACAGGGGCACGGCUGGAGGGGAGGGGGAGUUCCAAAGUGGGAGGCAGAUGGCUCAAACUGGCUGGGCGCAGCUGCAGUGGGGGAGGCAGAUGGUCCUCACUGGGGGGAAACUGAAUGUAGAGGGGACUGGAUUACUCAAAUUGGAGGGCACAGCUGAAAUGGGGGUGUAGGUGGUCUAAAUUGGGAAGCAGAGCUUGAUAUGCAGCGUGGGUAGAUGACCAAAACUAGGGGGACGCAG
ensembl:lncRNA